rnacentral:misc_RNA from 1 species
AACAAGGCGUACCUGCGGACCUGCGGAAGGAUCAUUAACCGUUACAAACAGUGUGUGCUGCGGCCCCCGAGGUGAGGCAACGAGCCUUCGGGAGGUCUGGGGUCCGCCCCUUCACGCGCACGCGUCUGCCAUCCUUACUUUACGAGCACCUUCUGUUCUCCCUCGGCAUGCGUCCUGCGCUGCCGUUGGAAUUACAAAACUCUUUUUUGCAUCUAGCAUUACCUGUUCCGACAAUAACAA